rnacentral:rRNA from 1 species
GACGAACGCUGGCGGCGUGCUUAACACAUGCAAGUCGAACGGAAAGGCCCUGCUUUUGUGGGGUGCUCGAGUGGCGAACGGGUGAGUAACACGUGAGUAACCUGCCCUUGACUUUGGGAUAACUUCAGGAAACUGGGGCUAAUACCGGAUAGGAGCUCCUGCUGCAUGGUGGGGGUUGGAAAGUUUCGGCGGUUGGGGAUGGACUCGCGGCUUAUCAGCUUGUUGGUGGGGUAGUGGCUUACCAAGGCUUUGACGGGUAGCCGGCCUGAGAGGGUGACCGGCCACAUUGGGACUGAGAUACGGCCCAGACUCCUACGGGAGGCAGCAGUGGGGGAUAUUGCACAAUGGGCGGAAGCCUGAUGCAGCAACGCCGCGUGCGGGAUGACGGCCUUCGGGUUGUAAACCGCUUUCGCCUGUGACGAGGCGUGAGUGACGGUAAUGGGUAAAGAAGCACCGGCUAACUACGUG